GGAGGCCCGAUUUGCUAGCUGACAAAGAGGCGGAUGGCCGAUUGAGUGGAGAAGAGAGGUAGACCAGGCCACAUGACAGGACGCAAGCCAGAGCCAGCCUGGUUAGAAUAGUAUGAAGAAUGUCAAGCUGAAGGCCUAAGCUUUAAAUAUAAAUAGGGCCCGUGUCAGUAUUUAUAUCAAUGGCAGGUCUGCAAACAUCAGUAUUUCUAUCAAUGGCGGGUCUGCAAACAUCAGUAUUUCUAUCAAUGGCGGGUCUGCAAACGUUCCAUUAAACUGCCUCGUUUAGUUCAUCCCUGCGUCCACCCAGGGGUUCCACAAAGCAGACGUCACACUGACCUUGUUAGAGGUCACCAGAAGCAGAGUGUGCUGGUGGGGUGAUCUAGAGGUGGCUGACCCAGACGUAAGGAUUCUCGCGGGGGCUGGAGCGACGGGACGAGUCAGCAGUUAAGAGCACUGGCUGUUGUACCUGAGAGCAGGGGUUCAGUUCCCAACACCCCCCUGCUGUCUCACAGGCAUCUGCAACUCCAGUUCCAGGGGAUCCAAUGCCUUCUUCUGGCUUCUGGGUGCACCAGGCAUGCAUGCCAUGCACAGACAUCCAUGAGAGCAAAACGCUCACACGUAGACAAUGAAAAGCAAAAACAAAGAGAUUAUUGUUUUGUAUUAGAACUAUUGACCCAUGGUCUCAAGUCCUCCGGUUUCCCUUAAACAGCUGCACAUACAGGAACUAGAAACCACAGGUGGGACAUCCUUUUCAAAAGGUGCAGCUGAACGUACAAGAAUGACAGAUUCGGGUUUGAUUUAAAUUUUUCCAAAAUAUUUGCUUAGGUCUGGACGAAGUUGUGUGCUUGGGUGAUGGCGUCUGAUAGGCCCACAGCAGACAGAACGAUGAAGUGAGCCAUACAGAGGGACAACCAGUGUCCUACCUCUGAGGUGUCCCACAAGAGGCAACAGUGUGCAGCAGCUGGUCCAUAAUGUUUCAUGAUAGCUACCUGUAACAGUCUCUUCCAAACCUCAUCUGGGGACAUGGAUCACUUGAAAGCAUUGGUCAACUGGCAAAAUACAAACGGAAUCUGUAUCUUCCCUCCAGAGAGCCCGUCAUUCAACAUUUGCCAACAUGUGAUUGAUUAAAGAUCAAGUGGCUGGCAUGAAAGGAAUCUGCAGAUGAGAUCCUGCACUGAAACUCUGCUUGGCAAGAUGACCCUUAGAGCCCCUCCAAAAGCAAGCGUUUGAAACAUCUCUAGUCCUGCAUGAAGAGAAAAGCCCAAAGCCUGAGCUUAUUGCUCUUUUGAAACCACCACCAACAUCACAAGGCUGACCAUCUUGGCCUCCAAAACUCUCUGAUGGACUUAGUCAGAGGUCAGAGUCUCCAACACCAGCAUUGCCAUUACUACCAGGCCCCUGCUCAAAAUUAGGUUCUGAUCCAUAGCCUGAGAGUCCCCACAAGCUCCCCUGCAGAAAAGGAGCAACCGGGAUGCUCUGAUCGAAAAACAUCUGGAAGGCAGGAAUCCAGAGACUGAAGGCGUCUUCCCAUGGGCGACAGAUAUACACAGGGCCAUUGAGACAGAGGGUAGGUAGUGGAGCCUGGAGACAUACAGGUAAAAGCAAUCAGCAGUUAUCACUAAAGAAGGCUACAACAGCAGUGUCCUUCACUGCUCAGGGAACCCCUGGCUUCCUCUCCACGCUAUUCAGCUUCGGCUACUUAUUGUCAAGGUGCAGGACGCAGCCUGGCAUUGGCAUACAAAGACACCAAAAAGCAUCUGAAUGAGCCAUGGGAUAUGCCAGUCACUCUGGGACUUAGGAUAUAAAUUACAUUUUAGUUCCUUAGAGAACUUAUAGAGUCUGUGUAGACACUAAAAACUGAACAAGCAAAACUAUCCACGUUGUCCCUGCUGUAGAACAGAGAGCAUCGCUUCUCUCCUGUGAUCCUGCUAGGCUGAAACUCUAAAUCCAGAAGUCUUGGUGUUUGGGAUUGAUUCUGAUCAUGGCUCCAUAGGAGCAGACUUGUGUGUUCAGAUCAAAUAUUCCCAUGGUAUCACCCUCAUAUAUAUGUGUCUGUCUUAGUCAGCACCCGCUGCCUUAACCAAAUACCUCAGACAUUUAUUUUCUCAAAGUCACAGAGACUAGAGGUCCAAGAUCAGAAAGCUAGCACUAUUCUUCCUCCAUAGACGGUCAUCUUCUUUGGGUGUGCUCAAAUGGCCUUUGUUAGCAUGUGCACAUGGAGUAGGGUUAGAAAACAAGUGGGGACCACAAAUUAAAGACCACACCAACCCC
rnacentral:lncRNA from 1 species